CGCGUGGCUGGCUGCUCUGAGUUCGCGUGCCCAGCGCUCCGUGCUGGUGACUCUUAACCACUCUACCUGAUAGAGUAUUUUUGUGCUUCUAUCGCAGGAAUUUGGCAAUUCUUAAUAAGUAAAUCAUGGCAAUACAUUUCUUUGUAUGAAUUCAAUAAGACCAGUUUCCAAUUAUAAUUUUAUCAACCAAGACUUUGACUGGAAUGCCAUGUCUGAGAGUGACAUGCCUGGACUCAAUAUUAGCAGAAAGCUUUAAGGAAG